GACUGGCUGCUGCCUGUGGUCACUGCUCAGGAACCUCCUGAAGACACAACAGUUGUGCCUGAUCCUGGAGAAAAGGUAGAAGACGGGCCAGAGGAUGAUCAUAUAGCACCCCCUGGUAAGUUUAGUUCUGUGGUCUGUCCAUUUCUGUCCUAUUUAUCCUCACCAAUUUGACCAGUAUCAACUUCUUUGUAUACUUAUUUUAUUAUGUGAUGGUAUGUAUCUCUCUCUUGAUCUAAUUUUGUACCUUCUGUUUCCAGAAGAAAUUUUAAAUUAUUUAACUUUAAUGGAGUUUAAGCAAUCUUUUAAAAUUAUUUUAGAUAUGGAAUCUUUCAGUUAUUCAUUCAUUUGUAAUGCCCAUCUUUCUUGGCAAAAUGCCCACUUAUGGUGGCUUAACACAUCUUAAGAUAAAACAAAACAAUGUAAACUAUAAUCAAACAAGAACACCAAGAAAAACAAUACAAAUGGCUAGAAGAGAGAAAGUAAAAGUGGGCAGCAUGGAAGCAGCCAAACUGCAUCCAAAACACGCUGAACACCUCCUUCAGGAUCACCAAAGCAUAUACCCAGCAGCACUUCCAUCUUUUCUCUUGGGUC